rnacentral:rRNA from 1 species
CCUACGGGUGGCAGCAGUGAGGAAUAUUGGUCAAUGGGCGAGAGCCUGAACCAGCCAAGUCGCGUGAGGGAGUACUGCCCUAUGGGUUGUAAACCUCUUUUGUCGGGGAGCAAAAGCCGGACGUGUCCGGCUGUGAGCGUACCCGAAGAAAAAGCAUCGGCUAACUCCGUGCCAGCAGCCGCGGUAAUACGGAGGAUGCGAGCGUUAUCCGGAUUUAUUGGGUUUAAAGGGUGCGCAGGCGGAUUUUUAAGUCAGCGGUAAAAUCGUGGGGCUCAACCCCAUCCAGCCGUUGAAACUGGGGAUCUAGAGUGUGCGAGAGGUAUGCGGAAUGCGUGGUGUAGCGGUGAAAUGCAUAGAUAUCACGCAGAACCCCGAUGGCGAAGGCAGCAUACCGGUGCACAACUGACGCUCAGGCACGAAAGCGUGGGUAUCGAACAGGAUUAGAUACCCCAGUAGUC